rnacentral:rRNA from 1 species
UACGUAGGCAGCAAGCGUUGUUCGGAGUUACUGGGCGUAAAGGGUGUGUAGGCGGUUGUUUAAGUUUGGUGUGAAAUCUCCCGGCUCAACUGGGAGGGUGCGCCGAAUACUGAAUGACUAGAGUGCGGGAGAGGAAAGUGGAAUUCCUGGUGUAGCGGUGAAAUGCGUAGAUAUCAGGAGGAACACCGGUGGUGUAGACGGCUCUCUGGACAGGUACUGACGCUGAGACGCGAAAGCGUGGGUAGCAAACAGG